GUCCACGCUGUAAACGAUGAGGGCUAGAUGUUGGGGGGCUUAGCCUCUCGGUGUCGCAGCUAACGCGUUAAGCCCUCCGCCUGGGGAGUACGGCCGCAAGGUUAAAACUCAAAGGAAUUGACGGGGGCCCGCACAAGCGGUGGAGCAUGUGGUUCAAUUCGAAGCAACGCGAAGAACCUUACCAGCUCUUGACAUGGGGAGUAUGGGUCCGGGAGACCGGGUCCUUCAGUUCGGCUGGCUCCCACACAGGUGCUGCAUGGCUGUCGU
rnacentral:rRNA from 1 species